AUUGAACGCUGGCGGCAUGCCUUACACAUGCAAGUCGAACGGUAACAGGUCUUCGGAUGCUGACGAGUGGCGAACGGGUGAGUAAUACAUCGGAACGUGCCUAGUAGUGGGGGAUAACUACUCGAAGGAGUGGCUAAUACCGCAUGAGAUCUACGGAUGAAAGCAGGGGAUCGCAAGACCUUGUGCUACUAGAGCGGCCGAUGGCAGAUUAGGUAGUUGGUGGGAUAAAAGCUUACCAAGCCGACGAUCUGUAGCUGGCCUGGGAGGACGAUCAGCCACCCUGGGACUGAGACACGGCCCAGACUCCUACGGGAGGCAGCAGUGGGGAAUUUUGGACAAUGGGCGCAAGCCUGAUCCAGCAAUGCCGCGUGCAGGAUGAAGGCCUUCGGGUUGUAAACUGCUUUUGUACGGAACGAAAAGCCCCGGGUUAAUACCCUGGGGUCAUGACGGUACCGUAAGAAUAAGCACCGGCUAACUACGUGCCAGCCGCCGCCGUAA
rnacentral:rRNA from 1 species